rnacentral:rRNA from 1 species
CUACGGGAGGCAGCAGUAAGGAAUAUUGGACAAUGGAGGCAACUCUGAUCCAGCCAUGCCGCGUGCAGGAAGAAGGCCUUCGGGUUGUAAAGCUCUUUCAGCAGGGAAGAUAAUGACGGUACCUGCAGAAGAAGCACCGGCUAACUCCGUGCCAGCAGCCGCGGUAAUACGGAGGGUGCUAGCGUUGUUCGGAAUUACUGGGCGUAAAGAGCGCGUAGGCGGUUUGUCAAGUUGGAAGUGAAAUCCCGGGGCUUAACCUCGGAACUGCUUUCAAAACUGGCUUACUAGAGUUAUGCAGAGGAUAGUGGAAUUCCUAAUGUAGAGGUGAAAUUCGUAGAUAUUAGGAGGAACACCAGAGGCGAAGGCGACUAUCUGGGCAUAUACUGACGCUGAGGCGCGAAAGUGUGGGGAGCAAACAGGAUUAGAUACCCUGGUAGUCCACACUGUAAACGAUGAGUGCUAGGUAUUGGACUUUUAGUUCAGUGUCGAAGCUAACGCGUUAAGCACUCCGCCUGGGGACUACGGUCGCAAGACUAAAACUCAAAG